AAGAGAACAUCCUUACCGGGCAAUGUUCCCAAAUCUAAUGCCAGUAGUGGCUGAUACCAUGGCAUGAGGUGGAGACUGAUCACCCUGAAGCCUGAUGAUGAGCACUAAGAGGUAUCGACAAGGCUUCCAGUCACAUGUCCCUGGACCAGUCACUAACACCUAACUCGAUGGACUUCACCUUGACUGUUUCUGACCCAGGCAUUCGCAGCAGAACCUGGUGUGGCUGCACAGAACUUGGAGCCUCUUCACUUGGGAAUGAGCUACAAGGUGACAACCCAACUGAAAUCACAUCACAUAGCCACUGCAGUUCAAUGUGACAGAUGACAUGUCAUGUCUUCAGGACCUCAGUCUCCCCAGUUUCUGCCCCAGAGGACCAGAGAUGGCCUGCUGUCUAAGACCCACCCAAGAAAGAACCAGAAUAAA